rnacentral:rRNA from 1 species
GUGGGGAAUAUUGGACAAUGGGCGAAAGCCUGAUCCAGCCAUGCCGCGUGUGUGAAGAAGGUCUUCGGAUUGUAAAGCACUUUAAGUUGGGAGGAAGGGCAUUAACCUAAUACGUUAGUGUUUUGACGUUACCGACAGAAUAAGCACCGGCUAACUCUGUGCCAGCAGCCGCGGUAAUACAGAGGGUGCAAGCGUUAAUCGGAAUUACUGGGCGUAAAGCGCGCGUAGGUGGUUCGUUAAGUUGGAUGUGAAAUCCCCGGGCUCAACCUGGGAAAUGCAUCCAAAACUGGCGAGAUAGAGUAGGGCAGAGGGUGGUGGAAUUUCCUGUGUAGCGGUGAAAUGCGUAGAUAUAGGAAGGAACACCAGUGGCGAAGGCGACCACCUGGGCUCAUACUGACACUGAGGUGCGAAAGCGUGGGGAGCAAACAGGAUUAGAUACCCCUGUAGUCC